CCUACGGGAGGCAGCAGUGAGGAAUAUUGGUCAAUGGGUGCGAGCCUGAACCAGCCAAGUCGCGUGAGGGAAGACGGUCCUAUGGAUCGUAAACCUCUUUUGUCGGGGAGCAAAAGCCGCCACGCGUGGCGUUCCGCGAGUACCCGAAGAACAAGCAUCGGCUAACUCCGUGCCAGCAGCCGCGGUAAUACGGAGGAUGCGAGCGUUAUCCGGAUUUAUUGGGUUUAAAGGGUGCGGAGGCGGAAUGUUAAGUCAGCGGUAAAAUUGAGGGGCUCAACCCCUGCCCGCCGUUGAAACUGGCAGUCUUGAGUGGGAGAGAAGUAUGCGGAAUGCGUGGUGUAGCGGUGAAAUGCAUAGAUAUCACGCAGAACUCCGAUUGCGAAGGCAGCAUGCCGGCUCUCAACUGACGCUGAGGCACGAAAGCGUGGGUAUCGAACAGGAUUAGAUACCCGAGUAGUC
rnacentral:rRNA from 1 species